CGGACGGGUGAGUAAUGUCUGGGAAACUGCCUGAUGGAGGGGGAUAACUACUGGAAACGGUAGCUAAUACCGCAUAACGUCGCAAGACCAAAGAGGGGGACCUUAGGGCCUCUCGCCAUCGGAUGUGCCCAGAUGGGAUUAGCUAGUAGGUGGGGUAACGGCUCACCUAGGCGACGAUCCCUAGCUGGUCUGAGAGGAUGACCAGCCACACUGGAACUGAGACACGGUCCAG
rnacentral:rRNA from 1 species